rnacentral:rRNA from 1 species
ACAACUGGCGUAAACAAAGUGGAAGCGAAGCUGUGAUGCGUGAGGCAAAUCUCAAAAAAUAACGUCUCAGUUCGGACUGUAGUCUGCAACCCGACUAGCACGAAGCUGGAAUCGCUAGUAAUCGCAGAUCAGAAUGCCGCGGUGAAUACGUUACCCGGGUCUUGUACACACCGCCCCGUCACACCAUGGGAGUCGGGAACUGCCCGAAGCCAAGUAGGCCUAGACCGUAAGGA